CAGGUAGGGAUACCCGCUGAACUUAAGCAUAUCAAUAAGCGGAGGAAAAGAAACCAACAGGGAUUGCCCUAGUAACGGCGAGUGAAGCGGCAACAGCUCAAAUUUGAAAUCUGGCUCUUUUAGAGUCCGAGUUGUAAUUUGCAGAGGGCGCUUUGGCUUUGGCAGCGGUCCAAGUUCCUUGGAACAGGACGUCACAGAGGGUGAGAAUCCCGUACGUGGUCGCUGGCUAUUGCCGUGUAAAGCCCCUUCGACGAGUCGAGUUGUUUGGGAAUGCAGCUCUAAAUGGGAGGUACAUUUCUUCUAAAGCUAAAUAUUGGCCAGAGACCGAUAGCGCACAAGUAGAGUGAUCGAAAGAUGAAAAGCACUUUGGAAAGAGAGUCAAACAGCACGUGAAAUUGUUGAAAGGGAAGCGCUUGCAGCCAGACUUGCUUACAG
rnacentral:rRNA from 1 species